rnacentral:rRNA from 1 species
AACGAACGCUGGCGGCAUGCCUAACACAUGCAGGUCGAACGAGACCUUCGGGUCUAGUGGCGCACGGGUGCGUAACGCGUGGGAACCUGCCCUUAGGUUCGGAAUAACUCCCCGAAAGGGGUGCUAAUACCGGAUAAUGUCUUCGGACCAAAGAUUUAUCGCCUUUGGAUGGGCCCGCGUUGGAUUAGCUAGUUGGUAGGGUAAAAGCCUACCAAGGCGACGAUCCAUAGCUGGUCUGAGAGGAUGAUCAGCCACACUGGGACUGAGACACGGCCCAGACUCCUACGGGAGGCAGCAGUGGGGAAUAUUGGACGAUGGGCGAAAGCCUGAUCCAGCAAUGCCGCGUGAGUGAUGAAGGCCUUAGGGUUGUAAAGCUCUUUUACCCGGGAUGAUAAUGACAGUACCGGGAGAAUAAGCUCCGGCUAACUCCGUG